AAAUUGAAGAGUUUGAUCAUGGCUCAGAUUGAACGCUGGCGGCAGGCCUAACACAUGCAAGUCGAACGGUAACAGGAAGCAGCUUGCUGUUUCGCUGACGAGUGGCGGACGGGUGAGUAAUGUCUGGGAAACUGCCUGAUGGAGGGGGAUAACUACUGGAAACGGUGGCUAAUACCGCAUAACGUCGCAAGACCAAAGAGGGGGACCUUCGGGCCUCUUGCCAUCAGAUGUGCCCAGAUGGGAUUAGCUUGUUGGUGAGGUAACGGCUCACCAAGGCGACGAUCCCUAGCUGGUCUGAGAGGAUGACCAGCCACACUGGAACUGAGACACGGUCCAGACUCCUACGGGAGGCAGCAGUGGGGAAUAUUGCACAAUGGGCGCAAGCCUGAUGCAGCCAUGCCGCGUGUAUGAAGAAGGCCUUCGGGUUGUAAAGUACUUUCAGCGGGGAGGAAGGUGUUGUGGUUAAUAACCACAGCAAUUGACGUUACCCGCAGAAGAAGCA
rnacentral:rRNA from 1 species